rfam:Schistosoma rodhaini strain Burundi genome assembly, scaffold: SROB_scaffold0005343
AUCCAGCUGACGAGUCCCAAAUAGGACGAAGUGAGAGUCAAACUGGAU